UUCGGAAGAGUUGUCUUGCUGUGUUAAGGUUGCAAGUGGCCUCUGAUAAGGAAGGGACAGCAAACUGUACACAUAUGUUAUAUUAAUAUGCCCUCACUUGUCAGGUCUUGGAAACCCACUUAUUUUAUUGCAGAUGCCUCUAUGAUAACACGUUACAAAUUGACCAAGCAUACUUAUUAUUAUCCUAUUUUAUUUUAGUUAUUUCACAUUGCGCAGCCUAUGCAACAAUGUUUAGGUCCCAACUUCAGCUUGUACAUCCUCUAAGAGCCAGCAUUAAUACUGUUUUAUCACUCAAAACUAUAUAUGAAGUAUUAAAAACAUGAACCAUCUGUGUAUUAGGCUGGGGUUGUUGGGUGUGGGUGUAGGUUGGAAGCUGUGGUUGGUAUUGAGGAACCUGCCAGGGUGAGUCCUUGAAUGCCAGCUGGGUCAGGUUCUCCCUUAGCACCGGGUUCUCCUUUGUUUCCUUGAGCACCAGGUUCACCAUUGUUACCCUUAGGUCCACGGGAACAUCUGGGGCCUUGAGGUCCAGGAGCACCACGGGCACCAGGGAAGCCAGGGGCACCAGCAAUACCAGGAGUACCAGUGGGGCCAGCUUGACCAGGAGAACCGGGUUUACCACGAGCACCUUGGGGUGAACCCCUGCUAUCCACAAUUAAAACAGUGCUGAAGUUGCCACCUCUACAAAAGUUAGACCCUUUGAUCAAAUCCUCUACCUCUGCCUCUAAAACUUUUCAGAUUCAAUCUCCUAUUACCUCCCAAAUUUCUUUGUCUCACCUGCUUAGGGUCACAAUGCUGGAAACCCUGUGAUUGAUACAACAUACUCGUUUCCUUCUUUCUUUAUAUCAAAACAACUUGCUAUAUCUUUCUCAUGAAUCUUCCCAAAAAAUUCAGUUGGGGUCAAAGAGGGCCAGUCACAGACCAACAGUUUGACCAAAAGUGAACAAGGAGGAAGCAUAUUCCAUUUGCAGGUCGAGAUUACCUAACUCACACCCCCCUCUUUGUGUACCCCUCUUUGUUUACCACACAGAUAUAAUGUAUAGCACGGUUGUCUAGGGGUGUAUACAUAAACAGUGAAAGCAGAGUCUUAAUAUAGGGUUUGCAAUACUGACAGUCUG
rnacentral:lncRNA from 1 species